ACGUAGGUGACGAGCGUUGUUCGGAAUUAUUGGGCGUAAAGGGUUCGUAGGAGGUUUAUUAAGAUUGGUGUGAAAUCCCAAGGCUCAACCUUGGAACUGCAUUGAUUACUGAUGAACUAGAGUGUCGUAGAGGAAAGCGGAAUUCCAGGUGUAGCGGUGGAAUGGGUAAAUAACUGGAAGGAGACCCACAGCGAAGGGGAGUAACUAGGCGAUAACUGCCUGUGAGGAACGAGAGCAUGGCGAGCAAAAAG
rnacentral:rRNA from 1 species